UGGGGAAUAUUGGGCAAUGGAGGAAACUCUGACCCAGCAACGCCGCGUGAAUGAUGAAGGUCUUCGGAUUGUAAAGUUCUUUUCUAAGGGAAGAAGAAAGUGACGGUACCUUAGGAAUAAGCCUCGGCUAACUACGUGCCAGCAGCCGCGGUAAUACGUAGGAGGCAAGCGUUAUCCGGAAUGACUGGGCGUAAAGGGUGCGUAGGUGGUUUGGCAAGUUAGUAGCGUAACUCCGGAGCUCAACUUCGGAACUACUACUAAAACUGUCGGACUUGAGUGCAGGAGGGGCAACUGGAAUUCCUA
rnacentral:rRNA from 1 species